GACGAACGCUGGCGGCGUGCCUAAUACAUGCAAGUCGAGCGGACUUGAUGAGGAGCUUGCUUCUCUGAUGGUUAGCGGCGGACGGGUGAGUAACACGUAGGCAACCUGCCUGCAAGCCUGGGAUAACUGCGGGAAACCGCAGCUAAUACCGGAUACGCAGUUGAGAUGCAUGUCUUAACUGGGAAAGGCGGAGCAAUCUGUCGCUUGUAGAUGGGCCUGCGGCGCAUUAGCUAGUUGGUGAGGUAACGGCUCACCAAGGCGACGACGCGUAGCCGACCGGAGAGGGUGAUCGGCCACACUGGGACUGAGACACGGCCCAGACUCCUACGGGAGGCAGCAGUAGGGAAUCUUCCGCAAUGGACGCAAGUCUGACGGAGCAACGCCGCGUGAGUGAGGAAGGCCUUCGGGUCGUAAAGCUCUGUUGCCAGGGAAGAAUGUCGAGGAGAGUAACUGCUCUUCGAAUGACGGUACCUGAGAAGAAAGCCCCGGCUAACUACGUGCCAGCCGCCGCAGUAAAAC
rnacentral:rRNA from 1 species